rnacentral:rRNA from 1 species
AGCGUUGUUCGGAAUUACUGGGCGUAAAGCGCACGUAGGCGGCUACUCAAGUCAGAGGUGAAAGCCCAGGGCUCAACCUUGGAACAGCCUUUGAAACUAGGUAGCUAGAAUCUUGGAGAGGUCAGUGGAAUUCCGAGUGUAG